rnacentral:lncRNA from 1 species
UCGCCGAUUCGUUUGAAGAAGGAUCUGGCCAUUGACUGCUGGUGCUUCCCCUCCCCGGGCGGUGAGUGCUCUUUUCAAUCUCCUCUCCCUCUCCACCCAUCCCCAAUCGGUGUUGCCGUUAGUUGACUUAUUUGCUUUUCCCUUUUCCGUUCAGAUCAGCCAUGACUUGGGAUAGUACUUCUAUCCAGCAAGCAGCAUUUUGGAUGUGACCUCCAGCUCAAGCAGAGCAUCAAAAAUAGGGGCUCUAUCUGCUAAUGGGGUAGCCGGCAAUGCAGUCUAAGAGCUACAUCUCGUGUGAUUUCUGGAUAUGAGAACUUGAAGAAGAACAAGCUUGAUGCUAUUAUUGAAAAAAAAUCUAUGCUACAUGUAUUCCUUUAAGUACUGUUGCCAGAAACCUUAAUUAGCUACUGUUUUUUAUGAAAUGGAUGUGAUUUAUUUGUGAACUUUAGAGCUUUUGAGUUGUAAUUUGUGAUGUUUGAACCCUUGCCAGACUAUCAAAUUAUGCUAUGUGUGCCUGAAGGUCAAUACAAGGGUAUUCAUCAUAUGAAAAUUCAUUACUUUAUAUAUAUAGAAAAACGUAU